UACGUAGGGUGCAGGCGUUAAUCGGAAUUACUGGGCGUAAAGCGUGCGCAGGCGGUCUUUUAAGUCAGAUGUGAAAUCCCCGGGCUUAACCUGGGAACUGCGUUUGAAACUGGAAGGCCAGAGUGUGGCAGAGGGGGGUGGAAUUCCACGUGUAGCAGUGAAAUGCGUAGAUAUGUGGAGGAACACCGAUGGCGAAGGCAGCCCCCUGGGCUAACACUGACGCUCAUGCACGAAAGCGUGGGGAGCAAACAGG
rnacentral:rRNA from 1 species